CCUGGUUGAUCCUACCAGUAGGCAAAUACUUGUCUAACAGAUUAAGCCAUGAGUCUCAGUACAAGCCGUAUUAUUAAGGUGAAACCGCGAAAUGGAUUAUUAAAAAUUAGCUGAAUUUCCACAUUUACUUGGAUAACUGUGGUAAUUGAAAAGCUAAUACAUACAAACCAGAGUUCCGACCAGAGAUGGAAGGAACGCUUUUAUUAUUAGAUCAAAACCAAUCGGUGGCUCGUCCAUCGUUACUUUUGGCGACUUUGAAGAACUUUCUGCUGAUCAUAUGGUCCUUGUACCGACGACAAAUCUUUCAAAUGCCUGCCUUAUCAACUGUCAUUGGCAGGUUCCGCACCAACCAUGGUUGUAACGGGUAACGGAGAAUCAGGGUUCGAUUCCGGAGAUUGAGCCUGAGAAACGGCUACCACACUCAAGAAAGGCACGGGGAGGUAGUGGCGAAAAAUAACGAUACGGGACUCAUCUAAAGCCCUGUAAUCGGAACUAAUACACUUUAAAUCCUUUAAUGAGGAAC